AUGGCGCUCAGCGGCUUGGAUGCCGCGUUCGUCCUCCCCAUGCACUUCCCUUCUCCCUCGGCUUCUUUCGCGCCCGAUUCCUCCUCGACCGCCUGGUAUCCAAGUGUCAUAACUAAUGAGAAUGAUAACUUAAUUGAGACUUUGCAUAAGACUCCAGAGUUGAUGAAGGUGAAAGUGCUAAUGACCAAAAAGUGCGACUCAGGAGAAAAUGAUGUUUCAAUGAUACAAAGGGCUGAUGUUGGUUUUGGUACAUUCAUAGGUUUAUGUACCUCCCUAGCUUCCUUGCCUUGCUGCUCUAGCACCAGCCUCGCCGCUGUUGAGGCAUUCUUUAGUUGUAUAGAUCAUUAUGAAGUAAAUAAUUUGGGGGAAUUCUCUGCUUCACCUAUAAAGAGAUGGGAUCCAUAUGGCAGGGAUGAAAUCCAACUUCAAUUGGCAUGCAAUAAGAUCAAAUGGGAGGAUUUAAACCUUCUUGAGUUACGCAAUCACAAAUAUCUUGCACCUAGAGAAAGAAACUUGGAUGUUUUGAUCACACAAAGUUUGGACCAUGAGCUUGCGGAUGCUAAACAAAAUCUUAGAAUAAUGGGGGUUAUACUUAUUCUCGAGGGCCUUGCAGAGAGUAUUCUGAAUUGUAUUCAUUGCUUCCAAGUAGUUGUUUAUAUUUCUUAUGAGUAUUCACCUACAACUUGA
rnacentral:rRNA from 1 species